rnacentral:rRNA from 1 species
UACGUAGGGGGCAAGCGUUGUCCGGAUUUAUUGGGCGUAAAGAGCGUGUAGGCGGCUUUACAGGUCCGUUGUGAAAACUCGAGGCUCAACCUCGAGACGUCGAUGGAAACCAUCUAGCUAGAGUCCGGAAGAGGAGAGUGGAAUUCCUGGUGUAGCGGUGAAAUGCGCAGAUAUCAGGAAGAACACCCGUGGCGAAGGCGGCUCUCUGGUACGUGACUGACGCUGAGACGCGAAAGCGUGGGGAGCGAACAGG